GGUUAAGCGACUAAGCGUACACGGUGGAUGCCCUGGCAGUCAGAGGCGAUGAAGGACGUGCUAAUCUGCGAAAAGCGUCGGUAAGGUGAUAUGAACCGUUACAGCCGGCGAUGUCCGAAUGGGGAAACCCAGUGCAAUUCGUUGCACUAUCGUUAACUGAAUACAUAGGUUAACGAGGCGAACCGGGGGAACUGAAACAUCUAAGUACCCCGAGGAAAAGAAAUCAACCGAGAUUCCCCCAGUAGCGGCGAGCGAACGGGGAGCAGCCCAGAGUCUGAAUCAGCUUGUGUGUUAGUGGAACGGUCUGGAAAGUCCGACGGUACAGGGUGAUAGUCCCGUACACCAAAAUGCACAGGUUGUGAACUCGAAGAGUAGGGCGGGACACGUGGUAUCCUGUCUGAAUAUGGGGGGACCAUCCUCCAAGGCUAAAUACUCCUGACUGACCGAUAGUGAACCAGUACCGUGAGGGAAAGGCGAAAAGAACCCCGGCGAGGGGAGUGAAAAAGAACCUGAAACCGUGUACGUACAAGCAGUGGGAGCACCUUCGGGUGUGACUGCGUACCUUUUGUAUAAUGGGUCAGCGACUUAUAUUCUGUAGCAAGGUUAACCGUAUAGGGGAGCCGCAGGGAAACCGAGUCUUAACUGGGCGUUAAGUUGCAGGGUAUAGACCCGAAACCCGGUGAUCUAGCCAUGGGCAGGUUGAAGGUUGGGUAACACUAACUGGAGGACCGAACCGACUAAUGUUGAAAAAUUAGCGGAUGACUUGUGGCUGGGGGUGAAAGGCCAAUCAAACCGGGAGAUAGCUGGUUCUCCCCGAAAGCUAUUUAGGUAGCGCCUCGUGAAUUCAUCUUCGGGGGUAGAGCACUGUUUCGGCUAGGGGGUCAUCCCGACUUACCAACCCGAUGCAAACUACGAAUACCGAAGAAUGUUAUCACGGGAGACACACGGCGGGUGCUAACGUCCGUCGUGAAGAGGGAAACAACCCAGACCGCCAGCUAAGGUCCCAAAGUCAUGGUUAAGUGGGAAACGAUGUGGGAAGGCACAGACAGCCAGGAUGUUGGCUUAGAAGCAGCCAUCAUUUAAAGAAAGCGUAAUAGCUCACUGGUCGAGUCGGCCUGCGCGGAAGAUGUAACGGGGCUAAACCAUGCACCGAAGCUGCGGCAGCGACACUAUGUGUUGUUGGGUAGGGGAGCGUUCUGUAAGCCUGCGAAGGUGUGCUGUGAGGCAUGCUGGAGGUAUCAGAAGUGCGAAUGCUGACAUAAGUAACGAUAAAGCGGGUGAAAAGCCCGCUCGCCGGAAGACCAAGGGUUCCUGUCCAACGUUAAUCGGGGCAGGGUGAGUCGACCCCUAAGGCGAGGCCGAAAGGCGUAGUCGAUGGGAAACAGGUUAAUAUUCCUGUACUUGGUGUUACUGCGAAGGGGGGACGGAGAAGGCUAUGUUAGCCGGGCGACGGUUGUCCCGGUUUAAGCAUGUAGGCUGGUUGUCCAGGCAAAUCCGGAUAAUCAAGGCUGAGGUGUGAUGACGAGGCACUACGGUGCUGAAGUAACAAAUGCCCUGCUUCCAGGAAAAGCCUCUAAGCAUCAGGUAACAUCAAAUCGUACCCCAAACCGACACAGGUGGUCAGGUAGAGAAUACCAAGGCGCUUGAGAGAACUCGGGUGAAGGAACUAGGCAAAAUGGUGCCGUAACUUCGGGAGAAGGCACGCUGGUGUGUAGGUGAAGUCCCUGCGGAUGGAGCUGAGACCAGUCGAAGAUACCAGCUGGCUGCAACUGUUUAUUAAAAACACAGCACUGUGCAAACACGAAAGUGGACGUAUACGGUGUGACGCCUGCCCGGUGCCGGAAGGUUAAUUGAUGGGGUUAUCCGUAAGGAGAAGCUCUUGAUCGAAGCCCCGGUAAACGGCGGCCGUAACUAUAACGGUCCUAAGGUAGCGAAAUUCCUUGUCGGGUAAGUUCCGACCUGCACGAAUGGCGUAAUGAUGGCCAGGCUGUCUCCACCCGAGACUCAGUGAAAUUGAACUCGCUGUGAAGAUGCAGUGUACCCGCGGCAAGACGGAAAGACCCCGUGAACCUUUACUAUAGCUUGACACUGAACAUUGAGCCUUGAUGUGUAGGAUAGGUGGGAGGCUUUGAAGCGUGGACGCCAGUCUGCGUGGAGCCAACCUUGAAAUACCACCCUUUAAUGUUUGAUGUUCUAACGUUGGCCCCUUACCGGGGUUGCGGACAGUGUCUGGUGGGUAGUUUGACUGGGGCGGUCUCCUCCCAAAGCGUAACGGAGGAGCACGAAGGUUAGCUAAUCCUGGUCGGACAUCAGGAGGUUAGUGCAAUGGCAUAAGCUAGCUUGACUGCGAGCGUGACGGCGCGAGCAGGUGCGAAAGCAGGUCAUAGUGAUCCGGUGGUUCUGAAUGGAAGGGCCAUCGCUCAACGGAUAAAAGGUACUCCGGGGAUAACAGGCUGAUACCGCCCAAGAGUUCAUAUCGACGGCGGUGUUUGGCACCUCGAUGUCGGCUCAUCACAUCCUGGGGCUGAAGUAGGUCCCAAGGGUAUGGCUGUUCGCCAUUUAAAGUGGUACGCGAGCUGGGUUUAGAACGUCGUGAGACAGUUCGGUCCCUAUCUGCCGUGGGCGCUGGAGAAUUGAGGGGGGCUGCUCCUAGUACGAGAGGACCGGAGUGGACGCAUCACUGGUGUUCGGGUUGUCAUGCCAAUGGCACUGCCCGGUAGCUAAAUGCGGAAGAGAUAAGUGCUGAAAGCAUCUAAGCACGAAACUUGCCCCGAGAUGAGUUCUCCCUGAGACUUUAAGUCUCCUGAAGGAACGUUAAAGACGAUGACGUUGAUAGGCCGGGUGUGUAAGCGCAGCGAUGCGUUGAGCUAACCGGUACUAAUGAACCGUGAGGCUUAACCUU
rnacentral:rRNA from 1 species